GACGAACGCUGGCGGCGUGCCUAAUACAUGCAAGUAGAACGCACGGUUUAUACCGUAGCUUGCUACACCAUAGACUGUGAGUUGCGAACGGGUGAGUAACGCGUAGGUAACCUUCCUGGUAGCGGGGGAUAACUAUUGGAAACGAUAGCUAAUACCGCAUCAUAUUAAUUAUUGCAUGAUAAUUAAUUGAAAGGUGCAAUUGCACCGCUACCGUAUGGACCUGCGUUGGAUUAGCUAGUAGGUGAGGUAACGGCUCACCUAGGCGACGAUACAUAGCCGACAUGGGAGGGUGAUCGGCCCAAAUGGGACUGAGACCCGGCCCAGACUCCUACGGGAGGGAGCAGUAGGGGAUCUUCGGACAUGGACGGCAGUCUGGACGCGCAACGCCGCGUGAGUGAAGAAGGUUCUCGGAUCGUAAAGCUCUGUUGUAAGAGAAGAACGGGUGUGAGAGUGGAAAGUUGCCACUGUGACGGUACCUUACCAGAAAGGGACGGCUAACUACGUG
rnacentral:rRNA from 1 species